GCCUAGGAAUCUGCCUGGUAGUGGGGGAUAACGUUCGGAAACGGACGCUAAUACCGCAUACGUCCUACGGGAGAAAGCAGGGGACCUUCGGGCCUUGCGCUAUCAGAUGAGCCUAGGUCGGAUUAGCUAGUUGGUGAGGUAAUGGCUCACCAAGGCGACGAUCCGUAACUGGUCUGAGAGGAUGAUCAGUCACACUGGAACUGAGACACGGUCCAGACUCCUACGGGAGGCAGCAGUGGGGAAUAUUGGACAAUGGGCGAAAGCCUGAUCCAGCCAUGCCGCGUGUG
rnacentral:rRNA from 1 species